GAAGUUACUGAACCCUAAUUCCCUAAAUCAAUCCCCGUAACCCAUCUUCUUCCCAAACUCAUCUCUCUUCUCUUCUCUUCUCUGAGAACCAUAGAAGCCACCAAGAAGUACGCCACUGCAUCCCCCCGCCGCCACCGCAUCCCCCACCGCGUCGCACAUCGCCGAGCUCCCUUCUGUGUGUUCGCCGAAGUCGCGUCCUCUGUCGUCGCCGUUGCUCGCCUUUCAUGUUAUCCUCCCCGUAAGCGUAAACGGUAAACCCAUCUCCUCUCCUCUCUUCUCUGAAGACUGAAAGUGAACCAUAGAAGCCACCGCAGCGACAGUUUUGAGUACUGCAGCCCCACAGCCCCCACCGCGUCUCUGUAAUCGCCGAUCUCGCCUUCUCUGUGUUCGGCUAUUCGCCGGUGUCGCGUCCUCCAUCGCUCGCGUUCCUCCUCGCCGACCUCGCCUUCUCUGUGUUAAUCGUUGGAUCGGGUCAGUUGGUUCAACCUGUAAUCCACCGGUUGAACUAGUGACCUGAUAGUCUCGAUCACCGGUUUGGUUCUGACAACUAUGCCUUAUGCUACUCUUUGGCCCCUCCGGUCUUCCCUCUCAAAAACGACGCCGAAUUUGGAACGAAGCUGCAUCAUCAGUCACUUGACAUCGGCACCGUCUACCUCUGCCUGGUCCGACUUGCAGAAAGUACUAGCCUUAACCUUACACAGUUGGCACUUCUUCAUCAUAUCUACCUUCUCUGUUUUGAACCGUGUUCAUCAUGCCUCAGUCUCAAAGAAGAUACAUUCAGAGAAGAAGAAAGCUAGGGCCUUCCACGAAAUGCAGGCCAAGGUUGAGAAAGAGAUGGACAGUGUUUAAGGUUGUUGAAGAUGGAAACCUGACUCUUACCCUUCAGGAGGCAAAUUGAGACAGUAGAUGAAGAGGAUUGUUAUGCAGAGAUCCUAAAGAAUGCUAUUAUCAUGUGAGAUGAAUCAGCACUCCCAUGAGUGGAUCCAGCAACAACACAAUCGCUACUAAAGGACUGCUCAUGCCAAGGGACAGCAAAUAGGAGAAUAAGGCUAAGGAUUCCAAAUAAAGGAUUUGUCCUCCUUUAGCUACCGUAAUUUGUUUCCAAGGUUCAAUGCCAUAGUUUUUCUUAUUUUGUUUGUUACAGUAUAGAACUUGAGUUCAGGCUUAUUAGUCCUAAAGAUGAUUGGUGUGAAUCAUUUAGUACGUAUCCCAUGACCUAUGAUCCCUGUUUUUGAAUGGUGCCACAGGUUUCAUCAAAUUCAUUUAAAAAAUUGUAGAGUCUGCUAUGAUUAUUUCUACGUGUUUUUAAAAUUAAAUAUAUUUUUUAUAAUUGCAGCUGGAGUAUUAGUAUCAAGAAAUUAAAUAUAUUUUCUCAUAUCUAAUUAAUGAACAACAUUGUGGAUUGGAUUGGACUGACAAUAGCUUAGUGGUUAGUAGAAUCACUACUUUUCUUAACAAAUGAUAUUUGAGAAGAGAAAAAAUCUCGACAGAUAUGAGGAGGAAUAAUUUUCGUAACUUAUAUGUUUAGUUGUAGAUAAUUACCAGCUAAUUGAAUUUAUCAAACAACUUUCUUUUAACAUAGUAAUUCACAGAAAUGUGUAUUCAAGCUAUGUGUAUUCUUACUGUAUGUGCUUCAAGAUGUUAUUUUACAGUUAUAAGUUGGUUUACCCAUGGCUCUUUAGUAAACAAAGCUCAAAGCUGCAAGAAUGCACAUUUAUGUCAGGCUGGCGUAGCAAAGAUGCUAUCCUGGAAGAGGAACAAGAAAUACCAACUCAGGUAGGAAUACAACAAUCUUUUCAUAAAUCAUAUGAUGGAGUUUAGCACACAGAGUACAUCAUUUUCUGUCAGAUACGUCGACUAUGUGGCUAAUUUACAAGCAUGGAGGAUAAAACUUUUGAAACAUAUAAUUAAAAUUAAAUAUCAAAACACAUGGACCACUGUGAUUGCAAAAAUACAUGGACCACUAAGUUGAACAUUAGAAUUUACCACCAAAUUUUGUGAAUAUUUUGAGCGUUUUUUCCCAUUUGUUUUAAACUCUUAUCUUUUUGGCUUUUGAGAUGAUGCAUGAUGAUAGGAUACUAUUUAGCAUUUUUGAAGAAAUGAAUUUAUAUAGAGAGAGAAUAUGAUUUUAUAUGUGAUUUUGUAUGAAGAAAUCUUAAAGAUUAUAAGACAUUGUAUUAACUAGCCUUUUAAUUAUAUAUAUCUUACAUUAGGACUGAUUUGUUUCUCCUUUUUUUUCCCUGUUCUCUUUUUUGUACUUCUUUGGACAUCUGUUUGAUUCUACAAAAUGAUAUCAAUGCAAGUUUAUAGAUAGCUAGAUUAAUUUGUAACAAUCCAUUCAGUUUCCAAACAAUAUAAAAAAUAAAAAUUGUUCAUAGUCAAAAUGAUGCCUAAAGAGAUCAUGUAUAUGUUAAUGAAGCUUUUCAAAAACUCAGUGUCUAAAUUUGAUUUACCAAAUAUAUUAAGUUUGUCUUUUAAUUAAAUUUUUAUUAAUACAAGUAUUUUUGAUUAAAUUGAAAGUUAAAAUUUUCAAAAAUCCAAUUAAAUUACAUAAAUUGUAUAGCCGUAAGGUUGGUGAUAUGCAAUGAUACGACAGCAGAUGGGAGAAUACACAUAUAUGAGGGGAAGAAAAAAUUUCUUGGUGCAAUUUCCUUCUGUGCGAUUUAAUAACAAAUUGUGCCCUGUAAUCAUAUAUUUCAAAAUUAAAAAUAAACAACAAAACUGAUUGAAUGGAUUGCCAACGAAGUCCAAAGCUUCUUUGUGUCCUUUGUUGUGUGUGUUAUUGUGGUAAUGUUUUGGCAGAGAAGAUACAGAAUGUAGUAGGUCGAUGCUGCUGUUAGAAGAGUGUCUGGCAAAGGAAAGAGAAGAUGGUGGCAAGUGGAAGAUAGAGUGGUUCGGAAGAAGAGGAGAGGAAGGAGAAGCCAGUGAAGGGUGAGAACAAGAUCAAGCACAAAAUGAAGAUUGAUUCAUAGUUGGAAGUUCUGGAGAAAACUUAUGCUGGUAGGUGAAAGUAUUUUAACCAUUUUUGAACAAUAUUGUAAUUUUCCUUUUCUUUUGUUGGUUUUUUUCCACGGUUUUCGUGUUGUGCAUUUUUUUGGUUCAGGGGAGGCUUACCCUUCAGAAGUAGUGCAAGCUAAGUUAUUUUGAGAGUACUUUCGAGUAUUGCUACCUGCACUACUGAAGAUCAGUUUAGAGAUUAAUGCCAUCAACCUACUCAAAAGAGAUAUCUUUGGCAGAGCUUUAGGGACUACUUGAUGAGAAAGAGGCGAAGUUAUCACACUACAAGAGGUAAGCAUGUUCAAUUCUCUCAAGACUCUAAUGAGAUAUAGAUAUUGAUUUUGUUAAUUAGUUGUGAUUGAAGUAUGGAAGGGAGUAUUAGUUCAUUGAGCAAUUUUGCGAGAUGAAAAUUCUCAGAUGUCAAGAGGCAUACAUCCAUCUCCUGGCAUUGGUAAUUGAAGCAAGUAAUGCUGAAGAAAUGGAUGAGGAACAUUUUUGUACAUAUUCGGAACUUCAACGAAGAAACAGAUUCGAUUUGUUGACAUACUAUAGUCGUCUUUUUGUGGCAGCUGAUAGCCUGACAAGGAUUAUACCAUGUUUAACUUAUGAAAAACUUGAGAUCCGAGAUUAUUGAUGCUGAUAUUAUGAGCUGGGCAAACAAUAAAGUGAAAAAAAAGUUUCAAAGUACUCCCAUAUCACGUCUGAUUGGAAGUAUCUACAGCAAAAAUGUUUUGCAGCAGGAGAUAAAACAGGUUGGUUUUGGACAAACUCAAAUACUCUCACCUACUCGACUAAAAGCGGGUAUGAAUGGCUAUUGAAGAAGAAAUUUGGCUGGAAUGAUAAUGAAAAUUGGCUUUGGCUUUGGCGCUUGAGAAUACCGGAGAAGAUAAAGUGUCUGCUCUGGCUUUGCCUCGACAACGGAGUUCCCACAGCUAGUUACCGAUUUCAAAGAGCGGCCUUUUGGUGGAUUUGGAGGGAUAGGAACAAUGAUAUCUUCCAUCAAGAUGAUCCAUGGAGUAAAGAGAAAAUUGUUCACUUAGUUAAACAUGCUGCUCGAGAUUUCUCUAAUGUUGUUAUCAACCAAAAACAUAUUAUUCCUUCUUCUUUGAAAUAUAACUGGGAACCACCUCCAAUGAAUGUUUGUAAAGUGAACUGCGAUGCAAGCGUUUUUGAAAAUGAGCAAUUAGCUGGCUUUGGAUGUAUUAUUAGAGACAGCAUGAGAAUUUGGAUAAAAGGUUGUUCUGCCAAUAUACCUCUUUCUAGUGUUCUCUGUUGUGAGCUUCAUGCUAUUUGGAGAGGGCUUGUUAUGGCUUGAGAUUGCGCGUGCAAAGAUGUCAUAUGUGAAACUGAUAAUCUUGAUGCGUUUCUUCUUGUUUCGCGAGGCACAACCAGCAUGAUUAGGAAUGUCUCUGAUCUGCUUGACAAAAUCAAAGAGAUGCUCAGCGCAAUUGGACAGCUACUUUAGUGCUCAUCCAGCGAGAGCGGCUGAUUUAAUGGCUAAGACUGCUAUUUUAAACAAGCAGGUGU